rnacentral:ncRNA from 1 species
GGCCUGAAUCCGAACUGUCACCAUAUGGUGCGCGUGUCCGCCGGGACUAGGAUUCGGACCGUUC